GCGCAUGUGGCGAAAUUGGCAGACGCGUCAGGUUUAGGUUCUGAUCUUUCUGAGGUACAGGUUCAAGUCCUGUCAUGCGCA
rnacentral:tRNA from 1 species